rnacentral:ncRNA from 1 species
ACUCUAGUCUGGCACGGUGAAGAGACAUGAGAGGUGUAGAAUAAGUGGGAGGCCCCCGGCGCCCCCCCGGUGUCCCCGCGAGGGGUCCGGGGCGGGGUCCGCCGGCCCUGCGGGCCGCCGGUGAAAUACCACUACUCUGAUCGUUUUUUCACUGACCCGGUGAGGCGGGGGGGCGAGCCCCGAGGGGCUCUCGCUUCUGGCGCCAAGCGCCCGGCCGCGCGCCGGCCGGGCGCGACCCGCUCCGGGGACAGUGCCAGGUGGGGAGUUUGACUGGGGCGGUACACCUGUCAAACGGUAACGCAGGUGUCCUAAGGCGAGCUCAGGGAGGACAGAAACCUCCCGUGGAGCAGAAGGGCAAAAGCUCGCUUGAUCUUGAUUUUCAGUACGAAUACAAACCGUGAAAGCGGGGCCUCACGAUNNNNNNNNNNNNNNNN